GGGCCCGACCGGUUUUGACAGCGAGAGCAGUUGAUAGGUAAGCAUGUAGUGCGUUGUGAACGUUGCACUUUAAUCCGAAUUCUCAAACUUUUAUUUGGCGAAAAUAACUACGCCAUGGCUGCUUAAUCCAAGAUCAAGCAACCUUUGCAGUUUCUGUAGCGCUCCUGUUUAGCGACAGAAGUACUGCAUCAUAAAAUAACAGGUUGUUGCCGUGAUGAUGUUAGCGGUGGCAAUAUCAGCAUCUAAGUUUAAGUUUGGUUUAAAUGUAUGCCUGGCUUAGACCGACAAUCAAAUACAUUUUAAACAUGUAGAAAGCUUAUUAAUUCCUUGUUUGGACGAGGGUUCGAAUCCCUCCGGGUCCACUU
rnacentral:tmRNA from 1 species